UUACUCCUCUAUAAUACCAAAAACCGAUACAGAAAUAACAUAGAGAGCCUGAUUUUUCUUUUCCUUCUCUAUCCACCAAUGGAUUCUGCUCCCCCCCACACACACACACCCCAACCAAAGGACGGGGGAAUAAAGUAAGAAAAUAGAUCUAGGUUUGUUUCGUUUCAAGGAGGAUGCAAUUUUGCCCGUGAAUGCAUUUUCUCUAAAUGUGUUGGCUUCAUUCCUCCUUUGGUAAAGAAUAUCAACGGAUUUGCUAAUAGCACCUAGCCCAGGAAUGUCCAGUGGUUUCAGAUCAAAUCGAAGCAACAAAGAAUCUCCCGUGUCAACCCUUCUACAACUCAUGCCCCGCCCCUCUUUCGGGGAAGCUCCAGGACGGGACAGGGACCCAGAAACCCCAGAGAAGGAGCUCUCCCAGGGCAAGGCAGAGGUAGGAGACAGCCUGGUUCUUCACGCUGGUGAAAAGACGCCUCAGUAUAGCUGUGCUUGAAAAACUGCUGGGGCUAUUGUGACAACUGAGAUAAAGUUAAAUAUUUAUAUCCAAGCUGUUAUCAUUUGGGGGGGGGGUCUGUUUUGAAGAAGUUCAUUGCAUUCAAACUUACUUUAAACAUAAAUCCUGCUCUGGGGAAACAGAAUCUACAGCCUGCCACUGCGGUUGACUUUUUGAAAGGUACCCAUUAAGCUCAGAAGUGUAAGGAAAACUAUUGCAGACCACAAGUUCAUUUAAAUAUAUGUGUAUAUAUGUGUGUGUGUAUAUAUAUAUAUAUAUAUAUAU